ensembl:snRNA U2 U2 spliceosomal RNA
AUCGCUUCUUGGCCUUUUGGCUAAGAUCAAGUGUAAUAUUAAAAGUUAAUAUUUCUGUAGUGCUUCCAUUGCACAAGGUACUAUUCUAAGUAUUUUACAUAUAUUGACAUAUUUACAUUUCUAAAAACCUUAAAAGGUAGUCACCUUUUAAGGAAAGUAUU